GAUGAACGCUGACAGAAUGCUUAACACAUGCAAGUCUUUGGCGAAGCUGUGCUUGCACAGCCUAGCCAAGGCGGACGGGUGAGUAACGCGUAAGGAACUUGCCCUGCAGUCAGGGAUAACAGACGGAAACGACUGAUAAGACCUGGUAAAGUCAGGCGGACUCAUGUCCAGCCUGAUGAAAAGAGAUGCUGCAGGAGAGCCUUGCGUCCUAUUAGCUUGUUGGUGGGGUAACGGCCCACCAAGGCGAUGAUAGGUAGCAGGCCUGAGAGGGUGGACGGCCACAAGGGGACUGAGAUACGGCCCUUACUCCUACGGGAGGCAGCAGUGGGGAAUAUUGGACAAUGGGGGCAACCCUGAUCCAGCAAUUCUGUGUGCACGAUGAAGGUUUUCGGAUUGUAAAGUGCUUUCAGCAGGGAAGAAAAAAUGACGGUACCUGCAGAAGAAGCGACGGCUAAAUACGUG
rnacentral:rRNA from 1 species